AACGAACGCUGGCGGCAUGCCUAACACAUGCAAGUCGAACGAACCCUUCGGGGUUAGUGGCGCACGGGUGCGUAACGCGUGGGAAUCUGCCCUUUGCUUCGGAAUAACAGUUAGAAAUGACUGCUAAUACCGGAUGAUGUCUUCGGACCAAAGAUUUAUCGGCAAGGGAUGAGCCCGCGUAGGAUUAGGUAGUUGGUGGGGUAAAGGCCUACCAAGCCGACGAUCCUUAGCUGGUCUGAGAGGAUGAUCAGCCACACUGGGACUAAGACACGGCACAGACUCCUACGGGAGGCAGCAGUGGGGAAUAUUGGACAAUCGGCGCAAGCAUGAUCCAGCAAUGCCGCGUGAGUGAUGAAGGCCUUCGGGACGUAAAGCUCUUUUACCAGGGAUGAUAAUGACAGUACCUGGAGAAUAAGCUCCGGCUAACUCCGUGCCAGCAGCCGCCGUAAGAC
rnacentral:rRNA from 1 species